rnacentral:rRNA from 1 species
UACGGGGGGGGCAAGCGUUGUUCGGAAUUACUGGGCGUAAAGGGCUCGUAGGUGGCCAACUAAGUCAGACGUGAAAUCCCUCGGCUUAACCGGGGAACUGCGUCUGAUACUGGAUGGCUAGAGUUUGGGAGAGGGAUGCGGAAUUCCAGGUGUAGCGGUGAAAUGCGUAGAUAUCUGGAGGAACACCGGUGGCGAAGGCGGCAUCCUGGACCAACACUGACGCUGAGGGAGCGAAAGCCAGGGGAGCAAACGGG